AGUGAACGCUGGCGGUAGGCCUAACACAUGCAAGUCGAACGGCAGCACAGUAAGAGCUUGCUCUUACGGGUGGCGAGUGGCGGACGGGUGAGGAAUACAUCGGAAUCUACUUUUUCGUGGGGGAUAACGUAGGGAAACUUACGCUAAUACCGCAUACGACCUACGGGUGAAAGCAGGGGAUCUUCGGACCUUGCGCGAUUGAAUGAGCCGAUGUCGGAUUAGCUAGUUGGCGGGGUAAAGGCCCACCAAGGCGACGAUCCGUAGCUGGUCUGAGAGGAUGAUCAGCCCCACUGGAACUGGGACACGGUCCAGACUCCUACGGGAGGCAGCAGUGGGGAAUAUUGGACAAUGGGCGGAAGCCUGAUCCAGCCAUACCGCGUGGGUGAAGAAGGCCUUCGGGUUGUAAAGCCCUUUUGUUGGGAAAAAAAAGCAGCAGGUUAAUACCCCGCUGUUCUGACGGUACCCAAAGAAUAAGCACCGGCCAACUUCGU
rnacentral:rRNA from 1 species